UACGUAGGGUCCGAGCGUUGUCCGGAGUUACUGGGCGUAGAGCGCGCGCAGGUGGUUCACUAAGCCCGGCGUGAAAGCCCCCGGCUCAACCGGGGAGGGUCGUCGGGGACUGGUGAACUUGAGGGCGGCAGGGGCUGGUGGAAUCCCCGGUGUAGUGGUGAAAUGCGUAGAGAUCGGGGGGAACACCCGUGGCGAAGGCGGCCAGCUGGGCCGUCCCUGACACUGAGGCGCGAAGGCGUGGGGAGCGAACGGG
rnacentral:rRNA from 1 species